CGACAGGCUUAACACAUGCAAGUCGAGGGGCAGCGGGGGUAGCGAUACCCGCCGGCGACCGGCGCACGGGUGAGUAACGCGUAUGCAACUUGCCUAUCAGAGGGGGAUAACCCGGCGAAAGUCGGACUAAUACCGCAUGAAGCAGGGAUCCCGCAUGGGAAUAUUUGCUAAAGAUUCAUCGCUGAUAGAUAGGCAUGCGUUCCAUUAGGCAGUUGGCGGGGUAACGGCCCACCAAGCCGACGAUGGAUAGGGGUUCUGAGAGGAAGGUCCCCCACAUUGGUACUGAGACACGGACCAAACUCCUACGGGAGGCAGCAGUGAGGAAUAUUGGUCAAUGGCCGAGAGGCUGAACCAGCCAAGUCGCGUGAGGGAUGAAGGUUCUAUGGAUCGUAAACCUCUUUUAUAAGGGAAUAAAGUGCGGGACGUGUCCCGUUUUGUAUGUACCUUAUGAAUAAGGAUCGGCUAACUCCGUGCCAGCAGCCGCGGUAAUACGGAGGAUCCGAGCGUUAUCCGGAUUUAUUGGGUUUAAAGGGUGCGUAGGCGGCCUUUUAAGUCAGCGGUGAAAGUCUGUGGCUCAACCAUAGAAUUGCCGUUGAAACUGGGGGGCUUGAGUAUGUUUGAGGCAGGCGGAAUGCGUGGUGUAGCGGUGAAAUGCAUAGAUAUCACGCAGAACCCCGAUUGCGAAGGCAGCCUGCCAAGCCAUGACUGACGCUGAUGCACGAAAGCGUGGGGAUCAAACAGGAUUAGAUACCCUGGUAGUCCACGCAGUAAACGAUGAUCACUAGCUGUUUGCGAUACACUGUAAGCGGCACAGCGAAAGCGUUAAGUGAUCCACCUGGGGAGUACGCCGGCAACGGUGAAACUCAAAGGAAUUGACGGGGGCCCGCACAAGCGGAGGAACAUGUGGUUUAAUUCGAUGAUACGCGAGGAACCUUACCCGGGUUUGAACGCAUUCGGACCGAGGUGGAAACACCUUUUCUAGCAAUAGCCGUUUGCGAGGUGCUGCAUGGUUGUCGUCAGCUCGUGCCGUGAGGUGUCGGCUUAAGUGCCAUAACGAGCGCAACCCUUGCCACUAGUUACUAACAGGUGAUGCUGAGGACUCUGGUGGGACUGCCAGCGUAAGCUGCGAGGAAGGCGGGGAUGACGUCAAAUCAGCACGGCCCUUACAUCCGGGGCGACACACGUGUUACAAUGGCGUGGACAAAGGGAGGCCACCUGGCGACAGGGAGCGAAUCCCCAAACCACGUCUCAGUUCGGAUCGGAGUCUGCAACCCGACUCCGUGAAGCUGGAUUCGCUAGUAAUCGCGCAUCAGCCAUGGCGCGGUGAAUACGUUCCCGGGCCUUGUACACACCGCCCGUCAAGCCAUGGGAGCCGGGGGUACCUGAAGUCCGUAACCGCGAGGAUCGGCCUAGGGUAAAACUGGUGACUGG
rnacentral:rRNA from 1 species